GACGAACGCUGGCGGCGCGCUUAACACAUGCAAGUCGAGCGAGAACCAGGACUUCGGUCCUGGGGACAGCGGCGAACGGGUGAGUAUCACGUGGAUAACCUGCCCUCGGCACCGGGAUAGCCCGGGGAAACCCGGAUUAAUACCGGAUGGCCCUUCCGGCUCACGAGCCGGUCGGAAAAGGUAGCUUCGGCCUCCGGCCGAGGAUGGGUCCGCGGCGGAUUAGCUCGUUGGUGGGGUAACGGCCUACCAAGGCUCCGAUCCGUAGCUGGUCUGAGAGGAUGAACAGCCACACUGGGACUGAGACACGGCCCAGACUCCUACGGGAGGCAGGAGUGGGGAAUCUUGCGCAAUGGGCGAGAGCCUGACGCAGCGACGCCGCGUGAGGGAGGAAGGCCUCCGGGUUGUAACCCUCUUUCAGGAGGGACGAAGCUACUCGGGUGAAUAGCCCAGAGGGUGACGGUACCUCCAGAAGAAGCCCCGGCUAACUACGUGCCAGCCGCCGCAGUAAGAC
rnacentral:rRNA from 1 species